UACGAAGGGGGCUAGCGUUGCUCGGAAUUACUGGGCGUAAAGGGCGCGUAGGCGGAUAGUUUAGUCAGAGGUGAAAGCCCAGGGCUCAACCCUGGAAUUGCCUUUGAUACUGGCUAUCUUGAGUUCGGGAGAGGUGAGUGGAACUCCGAGUGUAGAGGUGAAAUUCGUAGAUAUUCGGAAGAACACCAGUGGCGAAGGCGACUCACUGGCCCGAUACUGACGCUGAGGCGCGAAAGCGUGGGGAGCGAACAGG
rnacentral:rRNA from 1 species